AUCCUGGCUCAGGAUGAACGCUGGCGGCGUGCCUAAUACAUGCAAGUCGAGCGAACAGACGAGGAGCUUGCUCCUCUGACGUUAGCGGCGGACGGGUGAGUAACACGUGGAUAACCUACCUAUAAGACUGGGAUAACUUCGGGAAACCGGAGCUAAUACCGGAUAAUAUAUUGAACCGCAUGGUUCAAUAGUGAAAGACGGUUUUGCUGUCAUUUAUAUAUGGAUCCGCGCCGCAUUAGCUAGUUGGUAAGGUAACGGCUUACCAAGGCAACGAUGCGUAGCCGACCUGAGAGGGUGAUCGGCCACACUGGAACUGAGACACGGUCCAGACUCCUACGGGAGGCAGCAGUAGGGAAUCUUCCGCAAUGGGCGAAAGCUUGACGGAGCAACGCCGCGUGAGUGAUGAAGGUCUUCGGAUCGUAAAACUCUGUUAUUAGGGAAGAACAAAUGUGUAAGUAACUAUGCACGUCUUGACGGUACCUAAUCAGAAAGCCACGGCUAACUACGUGCCAGCAGCCGCGGUAAUACGUAGGUGGCAAGCGUUAUCCGGAAUUAUUGGGCGUAAAGCGCGCGUAGGCGGUUUUUUAAGUCUGAUGUGAAAGCCCACGGCUCAACCGUGGAGGGUCAUUGGAAACUGGAAAACUUGAGUGCAGAAGAGGAAAGUGGAAUUCCAUGUGUAGCGGUGAAAUGCGCAGAGAUAUGGAGGAACACCAGUGGCGAAGGCGACUUUCUGGUCUGUAACUGACGCUGAUGUGCGAAAGCGUGGGGAUCAAACAGGAUUAGAUACCCUGGUAGUCCACGCCGUAAACGAU
rnacentral:rRNA from 1 species